rnacentral:rRNA from 1 species
AACGAACGCUGGCGGCAUGCCUAACACAUGCAAGUCGAACGAGACCUUCGGGUCUAGUGGCGCACGGGUGCGUAACGCGUUGGAACCUGCCCUUAGGUUCGGAAUAACUCCCCGAAAGGGGUGCUAAUACCGGAUAAUGUCUUCGGACCAAAGAUUUAUCGCCUUUGGAGGGGCCCGCGUUGGAUUAGCUAGUUGGUAGGGUAAAAGCCUACCAAGGCGACGAUCCAUAGCUGGUCUGAGAGGAUGAUCAGCCACACUGGGACUGAGACACGGCCCAGACUGCUACGGGAGGGAGCAGUGGGGAAUAUUGGAAAAGGGGGGAAAGCCUGAUCAAGCAAUGCCGGGUGAGUGAUGAAGGCCUUAGGGUAGUAAAGCUCUUUUACCCGGGAUGAUAAUGACAGUACCGGGAGAAUAAGCACCGGCUAACUCCGUG